AUGAACGCUGGCGGUAUGCUUAACACAUGCAAGUCGAACGGACUCUUCGGAGUUAGUGGCGGACGGGUGAGUAACGCGUGAGAAUCUGGCUUUGGGUUCGGGACAACCACUGGAAACGGUGGCUAAUACCGGAUGUGCCGAGAGGUAAAAGAGAAAUUGCCUGAAGAUGAGCUCGCGUCUGAUUAGCUAGUUGGUGAGGUAAAGGCUCACCAAGGCAGCGAUCAGUAGCUGGUCUGAGAGGAUGACCAGCCACACUGGGACUGAGACACGGCCCAGACUCCUACGGGAGGCAGCAGUGGGGAAUUUGCCGCAAUGGGCGAAAGCCUAACGGAGCAAUACCGCGUGAGGGAAGAAGGCUCUUGGGUUGUAAACCUCUUUUCUUAGGGAAGAACAAAAUGACGGUACCUAAGGAAUCAGCAUCGGCUAACUCCGUG
rnacentral:rRNA from 1 species